CUAAACAUAUUACCGAAACUGUGGAUGAACCUCUUUAGAGGUUCGUGGUAGGAGAGCGUUCUAAGGGCGGUGAAGUCAGACCGGAAGGACUGGUGGAGCGCUUAGAAGUGAGAAUGCCGGUAUGAGUAGCGAAAGAAGGGUGAGAAUCCCUUCCACCGAAUAUCUAAGGUUUCCUGAGGAAGGCUCGUCCGCUCAGGGUUAGUCGGGACCUAAGCCGAGGCCGAUAGGCGUAGGCGAUGGACAACAGGUAGAGAUUCCUGUACCAGUGCUAAUUGUUUAACCGAUGGGGUGACACAGAAGGAUAGGGAAUCGCACGAAUGGAAAUGUGCGUCCAAGCAGUGAGUGUGAGAAGUAGGCAAAUCCGCUUCUCGCGAAGCAUGAGCUGUGAUGGGGAAGGAAAUUAAGUACGGAAGUUCCUGAUUUCACGCUGUCAAGAAAAGCCUCUAGGAAGAGUAGUACUGCCCGUACCGCAAACCGACACAGGUAGAUGAGGAGAGAAUCCUAAGGUGAGCGAGAGAACUCUCGUUAAGGAACUCGGCAAAAUGACCCCGUAACUUCGGGAGAAGGGGUGCUCUAUUAGGGUGCAAGCCCGAGAGAGCCGCAGUGAAUAGGCCCAGGCGACUGUUUAGCAAAAACACAGGUCUCUGCAAAACCGUAAGGUGACGUAUAGGGGCUGACGCCUGCCCGGUGCUGGAAGGUUAAGAGGAGUGCUUAGCUUCGGCGAAGGUACGAAUUGAAGCCCCAGUAAACGGCGGCCGUAACUAUAACGGUCCUAAGGUAGCGAAAUUCCUUGUCGGGUAAGUUCCGACCCGCACGAAAGGCGCAACGAUCUGGGCACUGUCUCAACGAGAGACUCGGUGAAAUUAUAGUACCUGUGAAGAUGCAGGUUACCCGCGACAGGACGGAAAGACCCCGUGGAGCUUUACUGCAACCUGAUAUGGAAUGUUUGUACCGCUUGUACAGGAUAGGUAGGAGCCGAAGAGACGUGUGCGCUAGCAUACGAGGAGGCAA
rnacentral:rRNA from 1 species